UACGGAGGGUGCGAGCGUUGUCCGGAAUCACUGGGCGUAAAGGGCGCGUAGGCGGCCCGGUAAGUAGGGGGUGAAAUCUUGCGGCUUAACCGCAAGGCUGCCUUCUAGACUGCCAGGCUUGAGCACAGUAGAGACAGGUGGAAUUCCCGGUGUAGCGGUGGAAUGCGUAGAGAUCGGGAAGAACAUCAGUGGCGAAGGCGGCCUGCUGGACUGUAGCUGACGCUGAGGCGCUACAGCGUGGGGAGCAAACAGG
rnacentral:rRNA from 1 species